GGCAGGACACUCUCUGGAGUGGAAGUUUUAUGACCUACAAUCAAACCAGGCCUGAAGUUUCUCACUCAUUAACCUGGAGCAACAAAAUGGAAAGAAUUCUGAUGACAAAGUAGAGAACCUGUCCCUUUGCUGGCUCUGAGGAUGACUGACUGUUGUGUGGGUGAGGUCUGCAGACAGAAGCCAGCUCUGCUCUCUCCAUUGAGUCUCACUCUUGUCACCCAGGCUGGAGUAUAGUGGCGCAAUCUCGGCUCACUGCAACCUCCACCUCCCGAGUUGAAGCAAUUCUACUGCCUCAGCCUCC
rnacentral:lncRNA from 1 species